AUGCCUGGGAUGAAGCCAAGCGCAAGCACUAUGUUCACAAGCGUGACUACGCUGAGCCUGAAUGUGCGUUUAGGAGUCCAUGAUGAAGCCAAGAUGGUGGCCACUUUCCUGAAGUGCUUUCCUAAUGUGUCGUGUCUGCAUAUCAGGUGUGAAAGAUGUGAUGAACCCACUGGCAAGCUCGAACUUAAUAAGUUCUGGGAUGAGGUUGGCCCAAUCGUGAGCAUUAUGUUGCGCGUCGAGAUUAUGACUAUCCGUGAAUUGAGAGGGGAGGAAGGCGAGAUGGCUUUUCUCAAGUACUUCCUGCAGAACGCAAGGGUGCUGAGGCAUGCGGUGUUCAUCUUCCCCAAUCCUGAUUUAUCUUCAAUUUCAAGGGCGAAAGGGCGCUCCAUAGCGGGGAAUCUGACUAAUCUGACAUGGGGCAGUACUAAAGUCUGCGGAUUCAUGGCGUAUGGGAGUUCAGAUCCUGAAGGAGGCAGGCCAUGGUGCUUCAAAACCGGAGCAGAUUUUUCUCGUGACCCUUUUUUGCUGGUGAAGUUAAGAGCAGCAACAUGUUUCAUCAUCCAAGCUUAA
rnacentral:rRNA from 1 species